rnacentral:rRNA from 1 species
GAUGAACGCUGGCGGCGUGCCUAAUACAUGCAAGUCGAGCGAACGGACGAGAAGCUUGCUUCUCUGAUGUUAGCGGCGGACGGGUGAGUAACACGUGGAUAACCUACCUAUAAGACUGGGAUAACUUCGGGAAACCGGAGCUAAUACCGGAUAAUAUUUUGAACCGCAUGGUUCAAAAGUGAAAGACGGUCUUGCUGUCACUUAUAGAUGGAUCCGCGCUGCAUUAGCUAGUUGGUAAGGUAACGGCUUACCAAGGCAACGAUGCAUAGCCGACCUGAGAGGGUGAUCGGCCACACGGGAACUGAGACACGGUCCAGACUCCUACGGGAGGCGGCAGUAGGGAAUCUUCCGCAAUGGGCGAAAGCCUGACGGAGCAACGCCGCGUGAGUGAUGAAGGUCUUCGGAUCGUAAAACUCUGUUAUUAGGGAAGAACAUAUGUGUAAGUAACUGUGCACAUCUUGACGGUACCUAAUCAGAAAGCCACGGCUAACUACGUG